rnacentral:lncRNA from 1 species
UGCGGCCAAUCGGCGAGGGCUUCGUCAUCACCGCCCGCGCCCCGGGACUUCAUGGGACUUGUAGUUCCUCCGGGGAGCCUCGGGCGUGCCCCGCGAGGACUGUCCAGGCGGCUCCAGCGGAUAAAAGACCUGCUAUGGGCGGGGUGACAGGGUGGAGGCGUUUCCACCCGAGCUGGGAAGGGAGGCCCCGUUUCGUACUCUGCUGGUCGAGCCGCGGGAACUUAACUUUGUUAUUUCUUUGUGUGCAGACGCCUUCCAAAUCCAGGACCUCAGAAUCAGAGCCCCGUAGUUCCCGCAUCUCUUCCGCCGAGACCUGGAGCAGAGAUGCUUUCUUUCCUUGGCGCUGCUGUGGCGCAGCCUACGGGUUAUCUGCAGAGGGCAUUAUCCAGCUUCUCCCCGAGGCCAUGCCCAGCACCACUAUAACCCCCUCCCGCAGCCCCUCAGUCACAGAGCUGAGAAAGAAUGGUUACCAUGCUAACUCGAACCUCACUCGUGCCCCCUUCUUCACGCCACACAGACCAGAGCCAAAUACAAUGAGUAUUUAGAGAAUCUGCUACGCUGAUCGCUCCCCUCUCCUCGCAGGAGGAUGGAUUUUUAAAUCUGGGAAGUCUUGUGCUACAGGUCUGUGCCCCAUGAAACUGCAAGCAUCCUGUGAGGCGGGCCACGGGAAUUUAGAGAGCAAAGACCAAGUGAAGAGAUGUGUGAGAUUUUUUUCGAGCUGGCAAAAAGGAGACCCUAUCCAGGAGACUAGGCUUUAAGGAAGCUGUGAGGAAAGACGGCAGCAUCCAUUCCCAGAAUUCCUGACAGACUGGACUGAGAACACCCGUCCCUGCUCCCAGGCUUCUCCUGAGUCCCAGGGCAGGGCUCCCUGCUGCCGCCUCUGUCACUGUCAGAUCCACAGAAAGAUCAGAGAAGAGGGUGGGGCGCUGUGAUGGCUCUCUCUCCUCCACACCUGGGGAAGCUGCUUCACCCUCAAGCUCUGGGGGACUGGCAGAUGUUGUACUAACC